rnacentral:rRNA from 1 species
GACGAACGCCGGCGGCGUGCUUAACACAUGCAAGUCGAGCGAUGAAGCUCCUUCGGGAAUGGAUUAGCGGCGGACGGGUGAGUAACACGUGGGUAACCUGCCUCAUAGAGGGGAAUAGCCUUCCGAAAGGAAGAUUAAUACCGCAUAAGAUUGUAGUAUCGCAUGAUACAGCAAUUAAAGGAGUAAUCCGCUAUGAGAUGGACCCGCGUCGCAUUAGCUAGUUGGUGAGGUAACGGCUCACCAAGGCGACGAUGCGUAGCCGACCUGAGAGGGUGAUCGGCCACAUUGGGACUGAGACACGGCCCAGACUCCUACGGGAGGCAGCAGUGGGGAAUAUUGCACAAUGGGGGAAACCCCGAUGCAGCAACGCCGCGUGAGUGAUGACGGUCUUCGGAUUGUAAAGCUCUGUCUUCAGGGACGAUAAUGACGGUACCUGAGGAGGAAGCCACGGCUAACUACGUGCCAGCCGCCGCCGUAAAAC